GAAAUGCGAUAAGUAAUGUGAAUUGCAGAAUUCAGUGAACCAUCGAAUCUUUGAACGCACAUUGCGCCCUUUGGUAUUCCGAAGGGCAUGCCUGUUCGAGCGUCGUAUUACCCAUCAAGCGUGCUUGGUAUUGGACCGUUGCCCUCUGGGCUGGUCAUGAAACCAGUGGCGGCCAUCUCUGGACUCCAGCGUUGUAAUCUGACCACGCUGUGGAGGGACGGAGGCAUGUUGCCCGCCAUACCCCCCUCAUCUUAUCAAAGACGACCUCGAAUCAGGUAGGGAUACCCGCUGAACUUAA
rnacentral:misc_RNA from 1 species